GGUGUGGUGUGUAGUUGGUUAUCACGUCAGUCUAACACACUGAAGGUCUCGGUUCAAGUCCGGGCGACGCCA
rnacentral:tRNA from 1 species